rnacentral:rRNA from 1 species
AUUGAACGCUGGCGGCAGGCCUAACACAUGCAAGUCGGGCGCGCGGCGGACGGGUGAGUAAUGUAUGGGGAUCUGCCUGAUGGAGGGGUAUAACUACUGGAAACGGUAGCUAAUACCGCAUACCAUCAGAUGAACCCAUAUGGGAUUCGCUUGUAAGUAAGGUAACGGCUUACCUAGGCGACGACCCCUAGCUGGUCUGAGAGGAUGAUCAGCCACACUGGGUCUGAGCCACAGCCCCGGCGCCUACGGGAGGCGGCAUGGGGGCAUAUUGCACAAUGGGCGCAAGCCUGAUGCAGCCAUGCCGCGUGUAUGAAGAAGGCCUUCGGGUUGUAAAGUACUUUCAGUCGGGAGGCGUUACCGACAGAAGAAGCACCGGCUAACUCCGUGCCAGCAGCCGCGGUAAUUC